rnacentral:lncRNA from 1 species
AUGGUGUGGCAGAGAGGUAGGAGAAACUCUAGGAGAUUGUGGCAUCCCCAAAAGCAGCAGAGGAGGUUCCUAAGGAAGAAAACAAGUAUAGUGUCAAGUGUAGCUGGAAAGUCAUGGAAGAUGUGGGAAAGGGGAAGAGUACUACACAGAGACACAAUGUGCCUCUCAAAACAUAUUAUCUGGUCCUUUAUUAAAAAAUGUCUCCAGGAUCACAUGUGGCCUUGGCAAGAACUAAUUCAGGGAAAUGAGGAGAUGAAAACUAAAUUCCAGGUUACUGAAGAACACAAAGGAGUAAUGGAAGAGAUAAAGCGAUUUUUGACCAUGUCUGGCUUUGAGAGAAGAACUUCAAGGGAACAAGGGAAGAAGGGGUUUGUGAGCACUGUUAAACACAAACAGGAAGAAGCCACUGAAAGGGAAUUGAUGAAACUCCAGGAAAGAGGAGCUGCUACUGGGCAAGGGCCCCACUAGAGGGAAGGUUCAGAAUGGGAAUACAGGCAACGCUAAGAAUACCCCUUCUGAAAUAACAACAGGAAGGCAGGGAAGCGUGGCUGCAGACAAUGUGCAAACAUAGAGGUGACCACAUUGCAAUGUAUGGUUUCCAUUUUCCCGGAGUCAUCUGCUGGCAGCAAAAUGGGAGUGGAAGGAACAGGCAUUUAAGGAACAGGUUAAAAAAAAAAAAAAAGGAACAGGUAGAAGUUCAAAAUGUCUGCAGUGAAGGCAGAGUGUUGUGCUGACAACAGAAACAGAAUGCAGAAUGCAGAGCAUGGUCAAACACCACUUAAAAGUUGGAGACCACAAACCACAAAGUUUCAUUCAUAUGGCCUGCAUGCUACAAGCCACAAUAUUUUCCAGACAAUGAAAAUAUAUCCUCAAGCCAUUAUAAACUUUAAUAGAAACUUAAAAUCUACGCUUUUUUGCUUAAGAACAGGCUUUGAGCAGGGCAUGGUGGUGCACACCUGUGAUCCCAGCACUCAGGAGGUAGAGGCAAGAGGACUGUCCUGAGUUCAAGGCCAGCCUGGAUUACACAGGGAGACCCUAUUUCCAAACAACAACAACAACAAAAAACAGGUUUUGGAAUCAGAACUGAGUUGGAAUCCAGCUUUGUCAUUUACCAGCAGUGUGAUUUUAUCUGAGUUAAUGAUAUGUCACUGUCUGAGUUUUCAUGAGAUUAAACAAAGAUUCAUUAAAGAAAAAAAAGGUCCAGUGUAUAUGUGGCAAGAGAAACCAAAAGAAACAGCUCAGUAAAUCAUAAUUAUGACAUUAUUUAUUACUAUUAGCAGCAGCAAUAUUUGCUACCUCACAUUACUGGCACUGGCUCACCUUAGAGUUAGAAUUAAGUCCACAGAGGAGACAAAUGUUAGGACACAACCUCAACCGUAGCACCAACCAAAUGACCUAGGGAGGACACUCUAGAUACCAAGUUUUCAAUCUGUAGAAUAAGGGGACUGGACUGGUCAUUAUAAAACUCCCAAGACCUUUGUCAUUUGGAUACAGAGCCAACAGCGUUCUGAACUUGAAAAUAUGGCCUUUCAAUUGACCACAUUCAUUGCUGUACAGCUCUGUUGUCGACUAGAUUUGAGUCUGAAUCCUGCUCUUCUUAAAGAGGUAUUUAACUUCUCUGACUCGGUUUUCUCAUCUAUAAAACAGUGAAAAAGACCUAACUUACCGGAUUGUAACGAUUUAACAUAAAAGCUCUUAGGAUGGAGCCACUGGUUUUUACUUCUCUAGUCUCAUCCCCUCUCCUGUAAUCUGUGAGACCUCUCUCCCUUCCCAGGACUUUGGGAGUGAAGGGCUCCACUCAGUGCCCUAUUUGAAUCCUGUUCACACACACAUGGCCAGUCCUUAUUUUCCCCAAGCACAAAUUUAUUAAAACAAAUUGGAGCCAAGGAUUUACCUCAGUGGUUCCACCGCCUGCCUCGCGAGGGCAAGGUCCUGAGUUCGAUCCCCGGUACCAAAAACAAAACCAAACAAAAAAUACCAAAAAUGAAAAACAAACUGAAACUUCAUUAAAAAGCCAAACUUUGGGAGUGUUAGCUCAUCCAAAGGGUCUCAUUAAACCAAGCGGUAUCUAAUUUUCCUCCUGAGCCAUACAUUUCGACAAUCCUCCACCCCGAAGCCACCUUGGAGUCCAAACAACGCACAGACGCAAGUGCAAAGGAUUGCAAGUGCAAAGUGGAAAACUGAGGACUGGUCGCGGAUCUUAAGAGUUAAGAAACCUAGAAUGGCAACACUUAAAGCUUUCCCCAGGCACUAACGAGAGGCGCGCAGGCAGUUGUCAGGCUCCCAUUUCGGGAGCUCUUGCCUGUCCAGAUACCUAAGACCCUGCCCAGCCGCCCUGCGGGAAACAGACUUUGGCGACAGCGCCAUGAGUGGGUCUGCACGUGCGGCCAAGGCGCCCACGCCCUGAAGCUCUCCACCCGAGGUCGGAGGUCGCAGGUCCCCGCAGGCGUCCAGCAGCGGCUCGGCGGGGCUGGGGGCACGGCUGACAGAACGGGUCGCGCGACUCGCCUCUCCGAGGUCCGGCGGAAUUUGGCGCCCGAGCCCGGCCUCACCUGGAAAUGGUCUUGGAAGUGGAUGGGGAGAAUCUGCGCCAUUGUGGGUGCGAGACCGAGGUAGUAGGGGUUCCCCUGGCGCUGGCUGACGAGCAGCGGCACAGGGGAAAGCGCAGGCUCACUGCCUCUGGUCUCCAAGUACUGCGGUUCUCCAAGUACUGCGGUUCUCCAAGUACUGCGGUCCUCCGCGCGAGCGCCCGGAAGGGAUCCCUCCGCCUGGCCCGAGGGUCUGCAAAAAGUAGUCCCGCGCGCAACUGGUUUUUUGUUUUUGUUUUUGUUUUUUUUGUACGGGGGAUCGAACUAGGGACCUUGCGCUUGUGAGGCAGGCGCCGGAACCACUGAGCUAAAUCCCGGCUCCUAAAAACCAUACUUUUGACGUCCUCGGAAUGGAGCGCUUUGGCGCUGCCUCGGGCUGUUGUCCCGGGCAAGUGUGCUCGAAGAGGUAGGGAGGGUCCAGAACUGCCUGGGACAGGUGUGCGCAGGAAUGUGGGCUAGGGCCUAGGGUGUAUAUGCAAAGGUGGGCUGAAGCCCAAGAGUGUGUUCAGGAAGGUGUUCGGCGUCUGAAGCUGCUGCCCUCGGACAGUGCCCGGGACAGGUAUGGGCUGACUCCUGCAACUUCCUGGAGCUAAAGGUUUGUGCAGAAAUAAAUGAAACUAUCCGACUACCCAUACCCAAAGUUUCCCCGAGUAGAGAGAGGGCAGCGUGAUAGUUCUACCUCAAACUGAGCUGUUGAGUUUAGAGCCACUGUGAUUGUUUCCCCCUCCCCCUCCCCCCUCGGGUGCACACUCCCAAUCCUUUUUAUUCUUUUCCUUUUUUUUUUUUUUUUCCUCUUUUCUGUACUAGGGAUCGAACUCGGGACCUUGCACUUGCGAGGCGGGCACCGGAAACACAGCUAAAUCCCC